rnacentral:rRNA from 1 species
GACAGAGGUGCCAAGCGUUAGGCGGAAUCACUGGGCUUAAAGCGUGUGUAGGCGGAUGGGUAAGUACCUUGUGAAAUCCCACGGCUCAACCGUGGAACUGCUUGGUAUACUGCUUAUCUUGAGCCACUUAGGGGCUACCGGAACAAAUGGUGGAGCGGUGAAAUGCGUAGAUAUCAGGAGGAACACCAAUUGCGAAGGCAGCUCGCUGGGACGUUACUGACGCUGAGACGCGAAAGCGUGGGGAGCAAACAGG